CGGCGGUGUAGCAGCCCCCUGCCGCCCCGGCGGGGUGCGGGUGGUGCCCGCCCAGCUUGGUGCCGAUGCCAGCGAUGCUGUUGAGGGUAGCGAUGGAGACGGCGCCGAUGCAGUGGUUGGUGUAAGUCUUGGAGAGCUUGGCCGCCUUGGAGAGCAUCUGCAUGCGGGUGCCCAGCAGGUUCUUGCCGAUGGCCUUGUUCUCGUACCAGGUGACAUCCCCCUCGCUGCAGUGGUCCCGCGGCCGCUGGAAGAAGGCCUUGCACAGCGGGUUGCGCUUGGCCAGGUACUUGACGAAGCUGGAGUAAGGGCAGAACUCGGUGCCCGUCUCGUACAUGCGGGGCAGGUUCUCCUCGUCGCUGCUCUCCGCCCGCUUCUUGCUCCAGGAGGAGGAGCGCGACUUGUGGUAGGGUCCCAGGGACUUGAAGUAGACGAACUUGCGGCCGUCCUCGUCCAUGGCCAGCCCGAAGGAGUCCUCCUCCAGCUCGCGCUGGUUCUCGCGGCCCCGCGUGCAAAAGUACAUGCAGGUCUCGAACCAGACCUUGUUGAGCAGCCCGAAGGGGCUCUGCGUGCUGAACACGCUGCAGGUGUACAGUUUGCGCAGAUCCGCCCGGGUGAUGGCUUGUUUCUGCACCACCGGCCCCGCGCCCUGCUCCUCCAGCUUGCGGAUCACCGCCGCCAGCGUCAGGUUGGCGGCGCGCAGCUCCGGGUCCUUGGUCAGGUCCAGGGUGCGGCAGUAGGGCGGCUCGUUGAGGUAGCGGUUGAGGGAGCUGCGGAUGCUGAUGAGCGAGGACUUGGAGUAGAGCUGGCCGCUCUUGGAGCGGGCCUCGGCGUAGAAGGAGCGCAGCACCCGGCACAGCGCCCCCUUGUCCAUGGUCUCGAAGUCCGGGCUCUGGGACUUCUCGCUCAGGUACUCCCGGAAGAUGCGCACCGCGUAGCGGGUGGCCAGCCGGGUGUUCUCGCUCAGCCGGGCCCGCUCGGGGCGCUGCAGCAGCAGGUCGGUCUCCGGGUCCGAGUCCUCCGCGCCCCGGGCGCUAGCGGGCACUGGGGCGCCCCCAACUGCUGCUGCCCCGAUGCUGCCGCCACAGCCGCCUCCAAGGCGACCGCCACCGCCGCCGCAAGAGGAGUCCAGCCCGCCACUGGCCCGGUCCAUACUGAUCAUAAGGACCGGCUCGGGCUCCAGCGGCUCCUCCUCGCCGUCCCACUCCAGCCCCAUAUCCUCCUCCUCUUCCUCGUCCAGUAGCAGGAGCCCCCCAUCGGCGCCGUCCUCCUCGUCCCCCGUUAUCUGCACCUCCUGGAUCUCAUCGUCGUCCUCCCCGUCCUCGUCCUCCCCCGCGCUGCAGUAGUGGUGGGGGCGGUGGGUGCCGCCGCGGCCCGGCGGCCGGUCCCCCCCAUUGUUCUCCCCGCCGCCGCCGCUGCCGGUGUUCCAGUCGCCGCCGCUGC
rnacentral:lncRNA from 1 species